AUUUUAACCAGAAACCAACUGAGAAAGGACUUAAGGACUCAUCAGAACCGAGGGUCAGCAGGUCUGGCACUGCAAGCCAGACCAAGGUUGCAAACAGCUCAGGAACGUCCCAGAGUCCCUUCCACCCUGAACACUGGAGAGUAUAGUUUGACGCAGAGCUCAGUGAGGAUUUCGCUGCAUCCAGGAAGGACAGCUCAUUAUUGUGCGAUCUCCCUGCCACCUGGCCCUGCGGCUCGAACUGGGGGUCUUAGGUGUGCUAAACAAAUGUUCUGCCUGCCACUGAGCCUCUUUGUGAAGAAGAGAUAACUGCCAAUGUGCAGGAAGGAGCUGGGAGCUGGGAGAGUUAGUGGUACACAGCAGCUUCCUGACUGCCGUCUUCUGGACUCACCUGGGGCCACUGUCCCUACCAAGUGCCCAAGGACUAGCCUGUGUGCCUGGAGGAAGCAGGGCUUGGAGAGAGGGCUGGGGACAUCUCUCCUCAGGGAACGAAGCUCAAUAGCUGGCUGGCCCUGUGCACUGAGGAAGUCUCCAGCAGUAGAGCCUCCUCCGCAAAACUGUCCUUCCUU
rnacentral:lncRNA from 1 species